CUGGAUGAACCCGAGGCCCGGAGUACUAGAAACGAGAUGAACUUUAUUGAAAACAGUACAAGAUUGUGGAAUUAGGGACUGGCAGUAGCAUAUGGGUGUACACCUGUCAAACUGACAAGCCCCGCCCCCUGACCGGUGCCCCGCCCCAUAUACUACUACCGACAACAAGGAUUUCUGCUGUGCACGUGAAUAUAAGAUGGGAGCUCACCAGCUGGAAACAAAAGGAGGAGAAAGACCUUUGGGUUUUAAGUGAUUGCAAGAACGAAGUCACCACCAAGGUGAUGGUGCUACGUAAAGGGCAAAUGCAAUCUUUUGACAUGCCACGGCAAGUGAUAGGGAAAUAUUAGCACCCUUGCACAAGACAUGGGUGAACAUUCAUCUGGAAUAUCAUAUACAGUUUGAUCACAAUUAAUUCAAACUGAAACCCAUGCCGAGAAGUGCUGCUAGGGCUCAGGAGAAGACACUAAAAGACUGCAAUUUCUUUAGACCAGCAAAAGUGAAAGCUGUGAGGACAGAUGAUUGUUCCCUGUAAUUACCAAAGAGGAAAGAAGAAGCCAUUUAAACGGACAUGCUUUGUACGUGAACUAAUGGAAAAACACUGGCCACGAAUACAUUUAUGUUAGAAAUUAGAGCAUUUCUAACCAUCACAGGAUGGCGGUUCAGGAGUGGCUUCCUCCACAUGGGGGCAAAAAUAUCCACUAAGGUUUAAGCAGGAACAUGAAUCGGGGAUUAUGGCAGGAUGCUUACAGUAACAGGGGACUAGAUUCAUCCUGUCCAGUCCUACAGUCCAACGGGGCAACGGCGCCAAGAAUAAAUGGGAAAAUAAAAUGGGAGUUAUCAGCUGAAUAAUUCCAAAUAGUUUGUUAUUUUUUUCCCCGCAAAGGCUUUUUCCACUCUGUAAAAGUGAAGAAAAGGCUGUUGGGCAGGAAUGAACAAAGCAGGGGAGUCUUCUCGGGAAGCCAGAUCUCUAUAAAUGCUUUCCUGUGCGGUUGGCUUUGCCAUGUGUUCAGAAGGACUAGCCAGGUUGAAAUCCCAGACAAAGCUCUUUAAUGAGACAAUGUUUUUAACCUUACCUUGUAAAGCACUUAAGGUAAAUUUCUAUUCAAACGAA